rnacentral:tRNA from 1 species
ACCUGGCUGGCUCAGUUAGUAAAGCAUGUGACUCUUGAUCUUGGAGUCAUGAGUUGAAGUCCCAUGUUGGGUG